UUCCCACAUCUCCUGAGUGGGAAGACUGCAACAUGGAGAGAAGAGGAGCAAAGCCUGUAAGGGAAGAUGAGGCUCAAGACAACCUGAGGAACCUGAACAUACAGACUGCUUUCCUGAGUGUUGCCUUCUGUACUUCGGCUGGGUUGAGUGUAACUUGAUUUGCCUUGCAUUGAGACAUAACACCGAAGGAGGACAAAGGAAAUAGAGCAAGGGAGUUUUUUGAUGCAUGUGAGUCCUCAAGAUGAGAUUUCCAGGGAAGAUACUUGCCAGAGAGACAGAUGAUGUUGCUAUUGCCAAAUGAAGUGUCUUGUAAGUGACUGAACAAUUACUCUGAGCAAAAUAACUUGGCAUGCUAUGUUGCUCAGAUAUUUUUACAUAAGAUGGUUAUUUGGUAGUAAAUAUAUAGUAGACAGAAUUUA